AACGAACGCUGGCGGCAGGCCUAACACAUGCAAGUCGAGCGAGGACUUCGGUUCUAGCGGCGGACGGGUGAGUAACGCGUGGGAAUGUGCCCUUCUCUACGGAAUAGCCCUGGGAAACUGGGAGUAAUACCGUAUACGCCCUAUUGGGGAAAGAUUUAUCGGAGAAGGAUCAGCCCGCGUUGGAUUAGGUAGUUGGUGGGGUAAUGGCCUACGAAGCCGACGAUCCAUAGCUGGGUUGAGAGGAUGAUCAGCCACACUGGGACUGAGACACGGCCCAGUGUCCUACGGGGUGCAGCAGUGGGGAAUCUUAGACAAUGGGGGCAACCCUGAUCUAGCCAUGCCGCGUGAGUGAUGAAGGCCUUAGGGUUGUAAAGCUCUUUCAGCUGGGAAGAUAAUGACGGUACCAGCAGAAGAAGCCCCGGCUAACUCCGUGCCAGCCGCCGCCGUAAUAC
rnacentral:rRNA from 1 species